GAUGAAGAACGCAGCGAAAUGCGAUACGUAAUGUGAAUUGCAGAAUUCAGUGAAUCAUCGAAUCUUUGAACGCAUAUUGCGCUCUCUGGUAUUCCGGAGAGCAUGCUUGUUUGAGUAUCAGUAAACACCUCAACUUCCAUAUCUUUUUUGAAAUGGGAGUUGGACUUGAGUGAUCCCAACGCUUUUCCUCACCGAAAAGUGGCGGGUUACUUGAAAUGCAGGUGCAGCUGGACUUUUCUCUGAGCUAUAAGCAUAUCUAUUUAGUCUGCCUAAAAAACAGAUUAUUACCUUUGCUGCAGCUAACAUAAAGGAGAUUAGUUCUUGUGCUGACUGAUGCAGGAUUCACAAAGACAGGCUUCGGCCGACUUUGUAAACUCGAUCUCAAAUCAAGUAGGACUACCCGCUGAACUUAAGCAUAUCAAUAAGCGGAGGA
rnacentral:misc_RNA from 1 species